UCCUACCUCCCCUGUCUCCCGGGCAGUAACAGUGAAGAAAACUGACCUUGAAGAAAACUGCUCUAACACUCAUCAAUGAAAAUGUCUUCUCUGCUUUGAAAACUCCUUAAUAUCUUCUCUGGCUUCUAAGGUUUCUUUAAUUAUUCCACACAAGUUAUGUGCAAUCAAUUACCAUCAAGCUUAAUUACCACAGCCAGUCACAUCCCUGGCUUGCUGGUGAACCUGGCUGAGAUAGAAGAGGAAGGCGGCAUCUGUUAAACCCAACAGAUGUUGGGACUAAAAAAAAAUAUCUGCGACGUGGUGCCUGUCACUCUUCAUUUGGCUGCAACGUCAUUCUGGAUGAGCUGGGUUGGCAGAACGGACAAGGACGAGAAGACUUUUGCCAGAUGCCACGGUGCCUUAUGUCAUUAACAGGAAAUGUUAAAAAGAUCUUCUAUUUUACUAUCAUAAAAAAAUUUGGGAUUAAGAGACUUUGGCAGACAUGGCAGAAAUCUUUUAUUUCUGCCAUGUCUCCUAUACGCUGAGCAUUUUCUAAUGUGUUAAUGUAGUAUUUGAGGUUCAUAUAACAUAACUGUUAUAUGUAGUUCUAGAUGAAAAACUAUAUGAAUUACGUAUAACCAACAGACCAACUCUCUGACUUGGGAACUAGAAGUGAAAUUGGAACUAGAAGAUCUCUAUUUAUCAUUGCAUGUACUUUGGUGACGUUGUUUGGUGGUGCACCAUGGUAUUUCUUCAAUGUAAAAUAUGUGCUGUGGCUCAAAUACGUUAAGGAAACACUGGCAAGUGAUGUGAUAUGAUGUGAUUACUUCAUCGUCUAUGUGGUGUACAUGCUAAUUUAUUCACAAUUUCAUGUUCACAUUUUCUCUACUCUGCUAGGACUUUUUUUAUACGUAUUAUUAAUUGAUAAAUGUACCACCAGAGCCAGGUUACUUAUGUGGCUAUGAUGAAACGGCUCUUAACUCCGGGAGCCGUCGGCAGCAUAUGACGAAUGGCUGCCCGGAUGAGCACAUGUACUUUCUACCUUGACCUGCUCAGACAUCACUUUAAUUCAUGAUGUACCACCACACGUGUGUGUCUGUAUCAGCAGUUCGUUCUAACGUGAUUGCCAUCAUCCACUUCUAUAUUGAUUAGCUUAUGGAGACCAGGGUCAGAAAUUAGCGGCAGUCGGUGAAAAAAAAAAAGUCCUUGAAAAUUAUGGAUUCAUCCUUGAGCAUUGCAGGAUGGGGCAUUGUUUUGCUUAUAAAACAAUGAAAAAAAUAAAGCAAACAUCCAUCAUUAUUAAAACGCUAAGUAUUUAGUUUGUCUGCUAGCAGCUAAUGACAAUAUCAUCACACAGUUUAGAAAGGGUUUAUUCUGGAAUAAUGGACCAAACUGUUGUCUGUCAAACCUAUGUUUUAUUUCUAAAGCUCUUGUACAAAGAAAGGCGAUCUAUGGCGAACCAUGGAUGAGAAAAGGGAAAUGCUGAACAUUUUAAAUAAUAUUUCUUUACAACUGAAUAUGUCAUAUUGCUGUACAUUAUGAAGAAAGAAUUGUCGCCUGUCAAGAUUAUUUUUAUUCUAAGAUCUGACUGUCAAACAUUUUCACUUGUUUUUUUUUUUCUAAGCCUAAAUCAAAUAAUAACAUCUGAUUAAAAUGUCAUUUCCUCAUCUCUGAUGUUAAAAAUGCUUUAUAUGCACUUGACUUUAGUGUAACUUAUCUGGUGAUAACACUUGUAAGCCAUCUGUCAUCUUAGGCUACCUUAUCACGGAAACUGUAAACAUGUCUGUGAUGAUGCAGGACGGCACAAGAUGGGAAUACGGAUGAGAAAUUCAGCGAGGAAAACUGUUUUUGUCGUUGUUAUUUGUUUGUAUUUUUUUAUCAAAAUUCAGAGGAGCAACACAUCGAGAUAGGACUGGGAACAAUAGGUUUGGGUGCAAAGGAAGAGUGAACCCUCAGCAACGCACACUGAAGUCUGAGGUUUCACAUUGGUUUAUAUUGUAUGUGAUGAUUAACCACAUGAGGCAUCGAUCUUUAGAAAUACCAAAGAAAACCACUGAAUGAUCAAACUCUAGACCGAUUACAAUCUUCUCUCUGCUGAUGUGUGUGUCAUAGCGUGUCCGCUCAAAUUGAAAUUAGCUGGGAGACGGUGUACGGCCACAUCUGAGAGCUGGUCCAACGUGGAGGAGAAGAAGAAGAGACGACGUAGACAACAAACCUGAGCCGAGGCUCAGUGUGUUUGUUUUCCAGGUAAUUACCCAGUUUCAUUUAACCUGUGAGACCGUGAGGAUCCUCUCAUCACUCACUCACUCACACCUGCUCCUCCAGGUCCACAUCACGGAGUCAUGGACGCUGCACAGAUAAACACAGGCGCAGCUGCUCCACUAACAGUCAGGACGUCACAAGAUGGUUGCUGAUGGAGCGCUGACCGAGAGUAACUAAUGGUAGACCCAAGAAGAACGUCUGUUAGAAUCACACAGACCAAGGUACAUUUUGGAUUAACAAGGAAACUGUUUAGGGUUGGGCAGGUGAAGGGGCAGAUUGGUCAAGUUAUUGCCAGUUAUGGUAAUAACUUGACCAUAACUGGUCAAGUUAUUACCAUAUCAUUGAGACAAAAAAGGCAUUUGUAAUCACACUCUGUUGUUGGUAUAGAGCAGGGAUGACCAAACUACGGCCAGGGGGCCGGAUUAAAAUUUGGCAUUUUAAUCGGGCCCGCCAUACUUGUCUAAAUUAUGUUAUUGAUUUCUGUCAUAUUACUUCUGUCUUUUCCCUGCAGUGCUUUUUCCCAAUUGAUGGCGUAGGAAAUGCUAAAAUCAUUUUAGCAUUUAUGCAUGAUUGCAUGACUUUUACAUGUCAUUUCUCUCAGUUCAUAUGAAUGCUUCAUCUAUCCUCUCCUGACCGGGGCCCCCUGUCAAGUUUUUGUCACAUGAACCUAAUCCUGCAUAUUUUUAAACUACGAGAAAAAAAAAACAUUUAUAUAACUUUUCUUUUUACCUGUUUAAUUCCUUCCAUGUACUUUAUCGAAUUAGACUUUAGUCUUGUCAAAAACGUAACUGUGGAACAUUUAUUUGUGUCUCCUUGGGAGUGCUAAAGACUCUGGUACUGCUUGUGUUUGCACUAUUAUAAGAACUUGUGUAUUUUGUACAGUCCUGCUUCAGAUGACAUGUUGUGGUUUCAUUUAGAAGAAUGAAACGCUUGUCUAACAGCAAAAGCUCUUUUUCAAAUCCAUUUUUUUCCUCUGUUAGACACACAAGCAGAGCCGACAUAAGGGAUUGUUAGCUCCUGUUUUUGGUUUGUUUGUUUGUUUUCUCUACUGUUGACUGUUGGUUCAAACAGUCAAAUGCAGAAACCAGAGAUGACUAUUACACUAGCAGACAUCACAGUGUUUUAUGGCCUCUGUAGAUGAAUCUCCAUCACCCCCCUGUGGGAAUAUGUGCAGCUUUUCUCUGUUUGCUGUGAAUUUAGAAUUGGAUUGCUGGUGAGAUUAGCAUAGUCGUAAAAGCAAAGCGUCCGACGGAGUAUUAACUCGCUUUUGUGCAUUUCCGUUCAACAAAGGCUAAUACGAAAUACAAAAACUAAAAAAUAUCUCAGGAGGCAGCACAGGCUGUGGUCCAUCCUGCAGUGACUGACAGCCAGUAUCCGUCAGAGAAGGGCAGGUACAGACAGCUGUCAGGCUGCCCCGGCUGAUGAACAAUGACCGGGUGGAAACAAGGCCGACCAAGAAAUCCAUCUCUCCUCAGACGUCCUCCAUCUUUCUUACAUAUCUCCAAAGACAUUGUAGAGCUUCGGCUUCCAACCGUUUCAUGUUCCCUCUGUUGUGUAGUAACGUGAGUAAUUAAAUUAGCAGCAGAUGAACGGUUCAUCGGUUCAUACCGAGGCACUGAACGGGGAUUAGAUCCUGGAAGUAAAUUGGGAUGGUGAGAUAUCAAACUGGUCACAUGCAGUGAAAAAAAUAGGUUAGAAUUCUGAUGGUUCUAGUGAGCGGUGAAAAAGGAUGCUGGGUAUCCUUAAGAUGAUGAUGACGGAGCAUGCCUCUAAAUAAAUGGAACAUCCUGCAGAGAUAACCUAACCUACUGCUGCUUCUGCUGCUUUUGGAAUCUGUACCACAUCAUACCACCUCUGCCACAGUGGGGAUGAGUCAUCUUCUCAACAAGGAUGAAUCUAUUAUAGAAGAGAAGUGGGCGGCAGAGUGGAGCCCUGGCAGGUUCAGCCUCCAAAUAUUCUGCCCAGAGGUCCAUGGAAGUGAAACCAGUAUGCAGCGUGUCUACAAGCACUGGUUCCGAGGCGGUUUCUGCUGACAGGUGUCUGCUCGUGUGUGUGAGUUGUCUUACGGAAGGAUGAAGAGCAUUAACGGCUCUUAAAUUGGGAUUUUCUUGUUUCCUUCAUCCGCCCACAUGAACUGUUCUCCAAAAUGCUGGCAACCCAAUUUGAUCCACUCUUGUUUUCCCAUCCAUCUCCUCCUCGUCCUCCUCGUCCUCCUCGUCCUCCGCCUCCUCCUCCUCCACAGGCCUCAUCAUUCAUGCUGUGUACACAGUCUGUCCCUUUCUGCUUGCCCAGGCUCCUCCGGAGCUUGUUAAUUGCGAUGGUGACACAGGUCUGUGUGUGAAGCAGCAGUAGUAAUUGCUCUGGUCUGGCCUGAGGAAGGAGGGGCGGUGGGGUAGGGGGGGCAGUCGUCUGCCCUGCAGUUCUGCCCCAAGGAUACAAGAUUAGACACACGCCUUCAUGUUUGAUGCAAUGCACGUGUCAUUACAUUGAUCAGGGGCAGACUCUGCCGCCUUCCUCUGUGAGAUUUGUCACUCCUCCAUACUGUAUACUUUAAAUGUAGCGCAGGAUAUGCUAAAAGUAUAAUCCAAAAUACUUGUCCUAAAAAUGAACCCGAGCUGCUCCAGAUGUGUCUGUCGUGUGCACCUACACAUCCGCUUAUGAAGAAUUUUGGAGAGGCUGCAGGUUUCAGUUUUAUCUGAAAACACUGAGCGGUUUAAAGGAUGUAGCCGUUGUUAGGAUGUUGUGAUCAUCUUUGAAUCGCAUAAUUAGCAAGAACUAAUUAUGCGAUUUGUUACCUUGUCCUCUUAGUUUAAUUAAAAGCAGUCACAGAGACUGGUAUCCAUCCUUAUCCACCUUAUUUGUUUCCACUGUGUCACAUCUAGUUUGGUCCACUGAAUGAUGUCUCCUUCAUUGUUACCAUGGAUUAAUAAGGCCACAUUGCAAAUGAAAAAUAAUCAAUUAAUUCACUUUAAUUUACAAGACUAAUGUUGUAAAUUUAUGUGAGCGAAGUUGCGACCUUAGAGAAAAACAAAACGUGCUAACCAGCCGGACAUCGGUUGUUUUUUAGAGGGCUGAACAGAUUAAUUUUUUUUCUGUUAUUUCUUAUGGGAAAAAAUGAUUCGAGGAUUAUGCUCAUAUCUCGAGGUUCCACUGUAGUCAGGUAAUCUUUUUCAUCACCAUCAAAUUAACUCCCUCCAUGUCAACAUAGAGGUGACCUUAAAUUAGAAUGGGGCAAAAUAAGCUGUACUUCUCACUGCCCUCUCCUAAUCAGAACUACACUUCGUCUCUUUGGAGCUCCAACAACAAUGACUUAAGCUGCUAAACAUUUCUGCCUGGGUCACGCACUGAGGGUUUUUCACUGUGAUUAAUGAAACAUCACUUCGGCAAACAGACUUUUGCAGAGGAAUGUAACUUCAAGGUUGCAGGCGGCGUUCCUGCUGGGAUCAGUGGGUGUAGAAAGUGUAAAUACUUUUGAUGUGUGAGAUGUGUGAAAAUAUGUUAUAGCCAUUAAGAAAAAAGUAGAAAGAAAAUGACAUUUACUGUACUGUACAGCGAUUCAUUUGUGUGUGCGGAUAAUCAGGACAAAUCUGCCACAACACCCACACUGGAAGAGGGAGGGGAGACAGGGAGAACAGAGUGUGUUCUCCUGUAGAACAAUGCUUACUGUAUUUGCAUCUCGUGGCAAGUGCUACGGCUUUCAGUGUUGUUUUUAGACAAACAUCACAAUAAAGAAAAUCAAACGCCAGCUUCAUCGGCGAGUUGCCAGUUUAGAUACACAAAUCUCCUACUCUGAUCAUUUUAGCAGUCAAUUAUUUUAGUUUAGUCCCCCUGUAUUGAUAUUAGCAACGUUAACACUGCUGUUAUUAAUUUGUUAAAGUAGAGACUAGGGCUAAAUAAAACAGCAUGUACAUUAACAACAGUUUAAACCAUGGCAGAGUGGGUACUGUUUCAGUGUAUAAACAAGAAUAGGUUAGUAAAAAUAUAUAGCUGUAAGGAGGAGAGGUAGUAAAGGAGGAGGAGUUUAAAUACCUGGGCUCAACCAUCCAGAGAAAUGGACUGGACACAGAAGAAGUGGACAAAGUCCAGAAAUGGAGCAAGACCUCAGAGGAGAUUUAUGGGUUGGGUGAUGGAAGAAGUGUUGAUGGACGUUAAUAAGUGAAAGUGAACUACUUGUCAUUGUGACACAGCACACCACUGCACCCUACCAAAUGUGACCUCUGCUUUUUUGAACAGUUAAGUUAAAGGUGUUUUUUUUUUCCUAGUAUUUUAGAGCCACUGUCUCCAAAACAAACGUGUGCAAACGCGUGCGUGUAUGUGUGUUCUAUAUGUUAGUGUUGUGUUCAUUCCUUUGUAAAGCUGCCAAUGUGUUUUCUGGGGAGUUCAUGGUUCCCUGCAGAAAACGAUUGAACUACAUUACCAGCACGGAGUAACAUAACUGGCACGUGAACUGAAGUGCAGUUUGCAAGGUGUGAAAUAAAUAAACACUGCAAAAAGACGACGUUGCCAUUGGUUCAGGAAAAUUGCUUUAGAUAGAAAAAUGUACUGUCAUAUACAGUAAAGAUACUCGCAGCACACACACGAAAAAAAACAAACAUUUUCACUCUGUUCGUGUGAGCUCCAGAAUCAGGUUUAUUCAAUAUUCUCUCUGUUUUGCCCCCGUCAGAUGGAAAUUAUCUGGGAGCAUUAUUGACAGAUCUUUUAUUCCCAUGGAGGAAGUAGGAUAUUGGCUCUGACAAACGGCAUACAAAGCAGAUAUGGAGCAGAAUAAAAAGUAGUUCUAUUUCACAAAUUGACAGCAGUAAAUUAAGCCAUCCACAGCACCGGUAAAACAACGGUGGGAAAGCGAGAUUUGCCGUCAAGGUUGAAUAAGAUGCUGCUGUUGAAUUUCAAGUUAUAUCUACUGCAGUCACGUGAAAAGAUAACAUUUUAAAAGUUAAAGGUAUUUUGUUUUUGUUCUUUUUUCAUCUUCAUCUGCAGGCUACAGAGCCGUGCUAUUUUAGACCCACUGUCUCAAAACAAACUGACAGAGCAGCCAAAUGGAUAAAUGUGUUGUAACCACCUCUGCGUGAGACUAAAAGGAAUCUGCAGUAUAUUGUAGUAUAAUGUACACAGUAGCACUGAUGUGUCCUAAAGCAGCUGGAACCAUAGAAGGGCCGUGAAGACUUGGCUGUAUAUUAAAAACGUUGAGCCUUAAGCAGAGGUGGGCAAAAGUUCUGGCUCACGGGCCAUAACCUGGUUCAACAUUUUACCAACCGGCCUGCUCAGUGUUGGUUGGAUGUAAAUGUUUGUGUGAAAUAAGGUGAAUAAAAUAGAAAAAAAUCAAUCAAUCAAUCAAAAUAAACAAAGUUGGUAUGAGUUUGUUUUAGGAACUCUCAUGAUAAAUAGAUUUAUUUUUUUUAAUUAAAUUAUUUUCACAUCUUGAUGAUCAAUCUGUUCUUAUGGUUAGUAAAUUUCAGCUUUGUAUGUUACAAUCAGUCUUUACCAUUAGAUGGAUAAACUAUUAUCAACGUUUGGCAGGCUGGAUUAGAAAUCCAAGCAGGCCGUAUCUGGUCCACGAACCAUAGGUUGUCCAUAUCCGUCUAUAUCUUGAUCCUUGUCAGGGUGGUGAGUGGAGUUGGGACAUUCUGGACAGUUUGUCAGUCCAUCACAGAGCCACAUAUGGAGACAAACGUGCAUAUACAAGGAGUCCUGGACUAAAGUCAGAGUUCCAUUUCAAAGAAGCGACAUAAGUCUAUUUUCACUCUAAGUCUGAACUAACCUUCUGUACAUCAGUACCUACACUAACACAAUGGUUACAUCAUAACCUAAGACAUAAAACACUCAGAAGAGGCAGACCUGAUAAAGAGGUUUCCAGCAUUUCACUACAAAUUGUGUCCGUCUCAUCAUUACAGGAGGCCAAAGCUACAGGAACAGGGUUUUACCCAUGAUGUACGAGGUGUUAUUAGGAUAAUGACAAUAAAACGGCGAGCUGAUGAAAUGAGUUCCCCUUCCUGCUAAUUGUCCCCAUGAUUAAAGGUCACGCUUGGCCUGUGUCUAAGCCCCAUGGCACGACCAACGGGACUUUGUCAAUUGAAUUAUCCACAGGAAAACGGAGACUUUCUGCUCCAGUCUGACAUUUAAAGAAUGUGCUGGAUCUGAGAGGUGUUUUAGAAAUCUGUCCACUCAUCAGGUGUCGGGGAGAACGGAUCAUUCCACAGAUGUUAGGACAAGGACAAUACAGCAGGGGGCGAGAGAACAUUGUCAAGGUCAUUCAUUCAGUAAUUUUUUUAUUAUUAUUUAUGUAUUAUUGUAUUUUAUAUUUUUACUGUAGCUUGAUUGUUGAUUGACUGACUCAAAUUGUAAGUUGCUUUGGAUAAAACAUCUGCUAAAUGUACUGUAAUGUAAUGUGAUUCAAUUUCUUAAUAACUAUUCUUUUGAACUAUUUGUGAUAAAUACCAUAACCCACUAGUUAUAGCCCAUUUACUUUAUACAUUAUGCAUAUAUGUUUAAUACUGAGUUUUUACAUUCACUCCUUCAUUAUCUACUGCUUCAUCCUUUACAGGGCUCCCAAACCUCUGGCCCAGGGCACGUUCAGGACCACAUACGUUGCACAUCUCCACGUAAUUGCAUCUAUGGACAUUUAACGGUCCUAAGCCAACAGACACUUUCGACCGGCUGAGAGCAACCUCUGCUCUCGGACUCUCCGACUCCGCCUCUCAGCAGCCGCUGCACAUGAGCGAACGACUCCCCAGCCAGGCUGCCGC